GUACUCGCUUUGGCAGCACAUAUACUAAAAUUGGAACAAUACAGAGAAGAUUAGCAUGGCUCCUGCACAAAGAUGACACGCAAAUUUGUGAAGCGUUCCAUAUUUUU
ensembl:snRNA U6 U6 spliceosomal RNA